rnacentral:rRNA from 1 species
GACGAACGCUGGCGGCGUGCUUAAUACAUGCAAGUCGAGCGGAAAGGCCCUGCUUUUGUGGGGUGCUCGAGUGGCGAACGGGUGAGUAACACGUGAGUAACCUGUCCUUGACUUUGUGAUAACUCCAGGAAACUGGGGCUAAUAUCGGAUAGGAGCUCCUGCUGCAUGGUGGGGGUUGGUAAGUUUCGGCGGUAGGGGAUGGACUGGCGGCUUAUCAGCUUGUUGGUGGGGUAGUGGCAUACGAAGGCUGUGACGGGUAGGCAACCUGAGAGGGUAAACAGCCACAAUAGGACUACGAUAGGGCCCAGACUCCAAUGGGCGGCAACAGUUGGAAACCUGACGCACCAAGCCCACGCCUGUUGCAGCAAUCUCGCGAGCGGGAAGCCCUCCUUCGGGUGAAGAACAGCUUUCGACGGAACCGAGGCGGGAGUGACGGUACUGAGUCAAAAAGCACCGGCUAACUACGUG